UUGGAAUAUUGGUUCCUAAGUGGCAGGGCAUACUCUUUCCAGGCCAGUCCAGCUGUGACCUUAGCAGCUUGCUCUGCUUCCUCCCUUCUGUUCUGUAAGUGUCGAAGAUACAGAUAAAUAACUGAAGUACCCAACUUAGGACCACAGUUGAAACAACCGUUCAGGAGAGAAAUUAGAACAGCUUUAAAAUACAAAAACCACUAGCUCAGGUCCUCUGCAGCAGUUGCAAGCACAAGUUACCCUACCUUCUUGGCACAGGCUGUGGGCACCACUGCAAUGAACAAAUAUGUGAUGGAGAGAUGGGAAAGACAGAAAACUG